rnacentral:rRNA from 1 species
UACGAAGGGGGCUAGCGUUGCUCGGAAUCACUGGGCGUAAAGGGUGCGUAGGCGGGUCUUUAAGUCAGGGGUGAAAUCCUGGAGCUCAACCCCAGAACUGCCUUUGAUACUGAGGAUCUUGAGUUCGGGAGAGGUGAGUGGAACUGCGAGUGUAGAGGUGAAAUUCGUAGAUAUUCGCAAGAGCACCAGUGGCGAAGGCGGCUCACUGGCCCGAUACUGACGCUGAGGCACGAAAGCGUGGGGAGCAAACAGG